rnacentral:rRNA from 1 species
GACGAACGCUGGCGGCGUGCCUAAUACAUGCAAGUUGAGCGCUGAAGGUUGGUACUUGUACCGACUGGCUGAGCAGCGAACGGGUGAGUAACGCGUGGGGAAUCUGCCUUUGAGCGGGGGACAACAUUUGGAAACGAAUGCUAAUACCGCAUAAAAACUUUAAACACAAGUUUUAAGUUUGAAAGAUGCAAUUGCAUCACUCAAAGAUGAUCCCGCGUUGUAUUAGCUAGUUGGCGAGGUAAAGGCUCACCAAGGCGAUGAUACAUAGCCGACCUGAGAGGGUGAUCGGCCACAUUGGGACUGAGACACGGCCCAAACUCCUACGGGAGGCAGCAGUAGGGAAUCUUCGGCAAUGGACGAAAGUCUGACCGAGCAACGCCGCGUGAGUGAAGAAGGUUGUCGGAUCGUAAAACUCUGUUGGUAGAUAAGAACGUUGGUGAGAGUGGAAAGCUCAUCAAGUGACGGUAACUACCCAGAAAGGGACGGCUAACUACGUG